rnacentral:rRNA from 1 species
CCUACGGGGUGCAGCAGUGGGGGAUAUUGCACAAUGGGGGGAACCCUGAUGCAGCGACGCCGCGUGGGUGAAGGAGUGCUUCGGCAUGUAAAGCCCUAUCGGCAGGGAAGAAGCAAGACGGUACCUGACUAAGAAGCCCCGGCUAACUACGUGCCAGCAGCCGCGGUAAUACGUAGGGGGCGAGCGUUAUCCGGAUUCACUGGGUGUAAAGGGAGCGUAGACGGCCAUGCAAGCCAGGGGUGAAAGCCCGGGGCCCAACCCCGGGACUGCCCUUGGCACUGGGCGGCUAGAGUGCGGGAGGGGCAGGCGGAAUUCCUGGUGUAGCGGUGAAAUGCGUAGAUAUCAGGAGGAACACCGGCGGCGAAGGCGGCCUGCUGGACUGCGACUGACGUUGAGGCUCGAAAGCGUGGGGAGCGAACAGGAUUAGAUACCCGUGUAGUC